rnacentral:lncRNA from 1 species
GGCAAUAUCUCCCUCGAGGACGUGAUCGACAUCGCCAAGAUCAUGAAGCACAGGUCCAUGGCCAAGGAGUUCAAGGGGACCGUGAAGGAGAUCCUUGGGACGUGCGUCGCGGUGGGGUGUACCGUGGAUGGGAAGAGCCCCAAGGAUCUGCAAACGGAGAUCGACGAUGGCGAGGUGGACAUCGCCGAGGUUUGAGAGGGAAGGAUUAUAUGCUACUUGUGUGGAUGUUCUUUUUUGGUAUGUUUGAAUCAAUGGAGACGAACUUUAACUUUUGUUUCGAUCAAGGAUAGAAAGUAAACAUUGGGGUCAUUGAAUUGGAAGGAUUGAUUGGUAAAACCUUGUGACAGAUUGAUCCUUUUAUUCAUGCUUGAAUAGCGCGUAGGAAAACCAUUGGACGAGUAGAGUUUCGAAGAUGCUUUCAGCAGCUUUGCUUUUGUCCUUGUCAUUGAUGUUGCGAGACUUUCCAUCGACCAUUUUUUCGUCGCAAACCUUCUCGCUCGUUCGAAUCGCUCGUUUUCGCAGCGAAUCCAUUACAAUACCUAUACCAAACCCUCCGAAAGACCUACCUUAUAUAGGAAAGUGGAAAAGGUAUUAUUCGUCGAAUAUCCUAAAAUGGUCAGUGACUAUUUGUAGAAUAUUCUUAAAGUUUAGUGAUUAUUCGUGGAAUCCUUGAAGUUUCCGGUAAACCCUAAUCCACGAACAAGGUCAUGGUCGCUACUCCUCCUUCCUCCUGGAUCCUCCUCCCUCUCAUCGCCAUCGCCGCCACAUUGUACGCGCUGCUCUUCUCGACCAUCGCACCGCCGGCGCGUGGGAUCCAGGAGCUCGCCGUGGACGCCAAUGCGCCUUCUUCUUGCGAUUACUCGGCGGGGACGUGGGUGUUGGAUCCCUCGCGGCAGCCUUCCUACUCGGAAGACUGCCCCUUCCACAGGAAUGCGUGGAAUUGCCAGAGGAGCCGGCGGCCGGGAAUGGAGAGGAUCUCGGCGUGGCGGUGGAUUCCCAGGCAAUGCGAGCUCCCGGCUGUGGAUCCCGCGGGAUUCCUGGCCGCGAUGAGAGGCCGGCGAUUAGGGUUCGUGGGGGACUCGCUCAACGAGAAUUUCCUCGUUUCUUUGCUCUGCGUGUUGCGCCGCGGCGAUCCCGUGGCGCGCAAGUGGAAGCGCAAGGGCGCGUGGAGGGGAGCGUUCUUUCCUUCUUUCAACGUCACCAUUGGCUAUCAUAGAGCUGUCCUUCUAGCUCAAUACCGCGAGUAAGCUCUCUCUCUCUCUCUCUCAUAAGCUUAGGCACUUAUGGAGAGCUCUCGUAUAGAGUAGACUCAUCUCUCUCAUAGAUCAUAGAGCAUAGAAGAUCAUAGAGAGCUCAUCUCUCAUAGAUCAUAGAGAGAGCUCACUUAUAGAGUAAGCUCUCCCUCUUAUAGGCAAGUCGCUUUGGUUUUUUUCCAUUGUUGCCGUUUGUCAUGCUUUUGUUUGUUCCUUUUCUUUCUUUUCUUGUAGGAAGGCUACAGCCAAGUGAUCUUCCAGGGCCACUCAAGAACACCAAGCUAAAGAAGGCGUUUCGGGUGGACGUUGACGUGCCUGCUCCAGACUGGGCCAGUGUUCUCAGCUUCUACGACGUGUUUAUCUUCAACACGGGGCACUGGUGAGAAUCUCUUGCAGCAGAAAAAAUUCUGAUUUGAUUGCCCAGGUGGAGCCGAGACAAGUUUCCAGAUGACGAGCCUCUAGUUUUCUACAGGAGAGGCAAACCGGUCCUGCCACCCUUGGGAAUGAGAGAGGGCCUUUCGGCAGUGCUGCGUCAUAUGGUUCCACGCAUCGAAGCCGCGCUGCCAUCCACCGCUCUGGCGCUCUGGAGGCUCCAGUCCCCGCGGCAUUUCGAAGGUGGCGAGUGGAAUCAGAACGGGAGCUGUAUGUCCGAGACGCUGUUGUCCGAUCAAGAGGUGCAUGCUUCCUUCCAUUUCCUUCCAUUCUAACAAGAGUUUGCAGCGGGAGAAAUGGUUUAGCAGUGGAACAAACAGCGAAGCGCGCGAGAUCAACACGCUCAUCCAAGAAGUUCUCCAAACGAGCCAAAAGUUUCGGGUGCUAAACAUCACACCUCUGAGCGAAUACCGACGAGACGCUCAUCCCGCGAUCUGGCUGGGACGAAAAGACGCGCACUUGACGUGGGGGCAGGACUGCUUGCACUGGUGCCUCCCGGGGCUCCCAGACACCUGGGUCGAUAUCCUUUGCGAAAUCAUCCUUGGAUUCUUCCAUUCCAGAGCUUAAGAAAAAAAAAUUUAAAAAAUACUUUGUAGCAUUUUCUCUUGCGAGAAAAUCUCUUUGCCUUGUCUCUAAACGUUCCUCUUCCUCCAGGAACUUCGGGAAAAGAACUGGCUAUGAACAGAAAGAAUAUGGCGUCAAUGUAUGUACAUGGAAGACUUCUACCUCCUGGUUCUGGAGCUUGACGCGAAGAGCUUCAACUUUUGGGACAUGGGAGUGGCACUCCGCUGCCUCUGCUUUCGUUUCCUCCGGGUCUCCCCCCACCUGACCAGCCACGGCAGCGCCGCUCCACCGCCGCCAGGACUCGCCGCCGCCGCCGCCGCCGCGGGUGGCACGCUCGAGGAUCGUCGGGACGCCUUGCUGGGACUAGAGUAGUGAUCCAGCGUCGACACUGGGCUCGUCAUCCUCGAGUUGGAGGAGCCUUCCAAGCGUGAGAUGUUGCAAAACUUUCCACUCCGCCGGCUAGCGUUGGUCGACGGAUCCACCCGCGAGCCACCACCAGCGCUGGUGGCGCCGUCGCUGGACCGCAGCAACCCGCUCAUGAUCUGCCAGUCCUCCGUGAUCUCCUGCCUCGACAGCGACGUGAUGCUCGGCAGCGUGUCGUUUCGAAAGUCCCGCUGCUUCUUGCUCGAUCUCGUUGGCCUUCCCGUGCUGGUGGUGGAAGGUUUGGUGUUGUGUCCGCUUCUGGCCACCGGUUCCUGUUCCACUCGGCUCACUGGUACGUGCUCCGACUCGUCGAUGGCUUUAAGUUGGAGUGUGGCGCAUUCGAAGUGAUCGAUCUCUGGAGAGCUUCCUCCGCCGUCUUCUUCUACGUCCAUUCCAACGCCGGCUUCAGCUGGUAUGGCGUCCGCAAACCACGCAACGGAGUCCUUCAGCGAGGGACUGGAUUCCUUCCGGUUGCAGGGUGUCUUGUCCAGCGUGAGGCUGAGUAGAAUUGAAGCUGCAAGGCUUGCAACUUCAUCUUCACUGAUUUUCUCUUCGGCAGCUUUAUCCUUCUCUGGCGGCCGAGCCUGACUGCCUGUGAGAUUCCCGUUUCCAGCCGAGGAUGCGUUUGCCCAGUAGGAGUUUUGUUGUCCUUCAAAGACUGUGAACAUGGUUUCUACUUUGCAUGCCGCCUUCGUGCCUAUCGUAUCUCUGUAAGUAUUUCCUCCAACUAUGCCAUUUGAAUCCUUUUUCACACCAGGGAUCGUCACGUAAUAGUUCAAACCCAUGGUGUUCUCGUACCCGUUCUUAAGCUGACCAUUUCUAUCUGCUUGUUGCUGUGAGCUAUCUGCGUACCGUUUUGUAGCCAACGAAAACAAGCUACCAGAUGAACCAUUUACGAGCCCAUCCCACGUUACUGGUAAAUGAGAAGCAGCUAGCCCGUUAAAAUAUGCUGUUCCAGACACCUGCCAUGGAUGGGGAGUAGCAUGCAUGUUUUGUUGCAUGCCGCCUGCUUGCUGGUGCCCAUACCAUAAACCUGUUCGACCAUCCUGCUCUCGGCUUGAGACUACUGCUGGCGUUGGAAAACCUGUGCUAGCGAACCGUCCAGAAGAAUUUUUUGAAUCUUCCCAACCAUGAAGUGGAGCCUGUGCAAACCCAUUUGGCAUUUGGAGCUGAAAAAAUCCGGAGGCCGAAGCUUGGUUAUUGUUUCCGAUUCCCUGAAGCAAUCGAAACUUAUAAGCACAUAAGUAGGCGUAGCAAAAGCUUAGAUUUACCUCGAGAAGCCAUUGUUGAUGAUUUUUCUGCAAGCACGUCGCCUGCCUUUCUUUUUGGCCGACGGAGAAACUUUGCACAUGACUUUUCAUGUCUGAAUAGUCCAGCCUCGGUCGUUUCAUCGAGCCGCAGUGCAAGAACAGCUCUAAAUCGCAAUUGACGUCUGUUGGACAAGGCUUUAGAUCCAAUUCCUGAUCCACAUUUUCGUCGGGAAGCUUUUCCAGGUCAAAGCCUUUCGGGAAUCCUGUUUUGGUCGGCUCCUCUUUCAGAGGGAAAAACUGGUGAUGCUGAGGAGGAUUCCCAUUUGGGCCGCUAAGAUUUGUGGCACCCAGUUCGUCCAUCAUUGAUUUCUGCACCUCGUACAGGUAAUGAAGUGCUUGGACCUGAAAAGAUUAAAAAAAUUAGCGAAAACCAACGCGGAAAAAAAGAAAAAAAAAAUUUUGACCUGUUCUCUGUAGAUUUUCUCCUGCCUUAACAUUGUCUCUCGGACGAGCAUGCACUCGACGGAACUUAGAUGACCCUCCAUGUCCUAUCUACUCGUGAAUCAUCCUGGAACAAGGAAGAGAACGCAUCCUUUAGUCACAUUGCAAUGCUUCUCGAGGGAGAAAGAGAGAGAGAGAUAGAGAGAUUUUCGAACGCAUUCAAUGCCAGAAUUUAGAGAAUGCGACAGCUAAUGCUAAGCCAGGCACCAGAAAAACAAAGAAUCGUCUUCCACACCCCACAUCCAGACACGCAAGAACACAAAACUCUCACACACGCACGCACACACACACACACACCUGAUAAUUCCUUCCCCACGGCUCCCAAAUUCUCCUCCCCGGCCCUAGCAAUAUCUCCCUAGACAGCUCAAGAACCUGGUCUUUCCACCGCGCCGCGCCGAAAUAUCCUUCGAUCUGUGCCGACGCCGCGCGAUAGAGCGCCUGGAGCGCGAGAAUCGCAGAGGAGAGAUCAGCCGCCGAGCGCUGGCCGCCGCGAUUGAGCCGCGCCGCGAGCGUCGCGCGAGGAGGCGAGCUCCGCCAUAGCCGCUAGGCUUUUGGCCUUCUUGCUUGAGAAGCAAAAUACCUAUACUUACACUCACACACACAAAAGAGUAGUAGUCUCGCCAGCAUCCAACAGAAUGAAUGAUUCUGACAAAGGGGCGCAUCACAAGGGGAUUAAACUAAGGCACUUUACGUGCUUUUUUAACCAUGGGGCGAAACUUUUCUUCCCUCGCAUUUUUCUAUUCUAGGGAUUUUACCUGCUACGCUAAGUACAAGGGAAUAUUACGCGGCGAUGCCCCAUGUAUACUACACGUGCAUGGAAUCACUGACAGGUGAUUGGCCGGCGUCACGAGUGACGGGUGGGGGUUUGGAACUGACGGCCUCGCGAGUUUUCCUCUGACGGGCCAGACGACCCUUGGAGAAAACCAACCUUCCCAUGUUCGAAUCUCACGAGGUUAUUUUUCUUUGGUGGCUUUGACAAGGAAUAUAAGAGAAAUAUUCAUGCUUCUCUCUUCUCUCAUGAGCUUCGAAACUGGAAAAGAAGCUCGAUAGAGAUUGUGUGACUGACCAAACAAAAAACUCUAUAGGCAUAGCAGUAAACAAAACUUCAUGAUCUCGGCCAUCUCGCGGCCACCUCGGACUCAGUUCAUCAUUGCGAUAGCGAUAGCUCGUCCCUGGCCGCCUAUUCUUUUUCCUCGUUUUCUCACCGUUUUAGCGAAAAUGCUCUCGUCGUCGCGAAAUGCCGCGUAGCGUGACGAUGCCGUCUAAAGACUUAGUCAUCUCGGUCACCACGUCCACCACAGAAGCGACCACUGGGUCACUGUAACCACUGGAAGCUAUACUGUCAAGUCCACCUCGGCCACCUUGUCGUUAAAAUGCCAUUGUCGGAUCUGCCACGGGCGGGCACCUCCUCGUCCACGGACCAGACCAUGACCGGCCCGAGGCUUGUAAUUAAUCCUAUGAUUUUCCCUGGACCAAGUCCUCAAGUAUUCUCUGAUAAUUCCCUUGAAUGCCGGCUACUCAUCCUUUCCACAAUGCCACAUUCCUCCUACUGGCACGAACUUGUCGAUUAAUAAAGUAUUAGAUAACUAAUUAAUUAAUUAUCCUGCAAAAGUGAAGUUUAGACUUAAUUAAGCUAAUAUAGGAGGAAACCUUCCCAUGUUCGAAUCCUGCUGUUGUUUUUUCGUAAGGAAUAUAAGAGAAAUAUUCAUACUUCUCUUCUCUCAUGUAGAGAUCGUCAAACGAAAAACUCUAUAGAAACUUACGCACCAACGUCGUCGCCUUCUUCUCUUCAGUAGUCCUGGCCUCUAAAGCCGGAUCCUCCUCUCCCCCGGAAUCCACCGCGCCCGCCACCACGGAAGCCUCCUCCCCCUCCACGGCCGCCGCCAAAGUCAUCUCGGUCUCCAAAGCCGCCGCGGCCACCUCGGCCUCCACGAAAGCCACCACCACUCCGGAAGUCAUCUCGGUCUCCAUAUCCGCCUCGUCCGCCGCGUCCACCUCGGAAGUCAUCACGGUCUCCAAAGCCACCACGUCCACCGCGGAAGCCGCCGCCGUCACGGUCACCGUAUCCACCUCUUCCACCUCGGAAGCCACCGUCGCGGUCGCCAUAGCCACCUCGUCCGCCCCGGAAGUCAUCCCGGUCACCGUAGCCCCCUCGUCCACCCCGGAAGUCAUCUCGGUCGCCAUAUCCUCCACCACGGCCGCCGUAGCCUCCACCUCGGCUUCCAAACCGGCCCCCGCCACGACCACGGCCUCCAAACCGGCCGCCACCUCCACCGUCGUCAUCACUCUCGUCGCUAAAGUCGUCGCCGUUGCCGUAUCUGCCUCGGCCACCUCCUCCUCGUCCGCGGCCCCGACCACGACCGAAACGAGGCUCGUCAUCCUCGCUCAGGAAAUCGUCGCUGUCCAAGUCGGAAGCGUCGUCGCUGGCGUCAAACUUCUUAUGGCCAAACCGGCUGCCUCUUCCUAAUGCUCCGCGAGCUCCUCCUCGGCCGCCACGGCCUCCUCUCGAAAAACGGUCGUCUUCGCUCACGUCGUCGCUGUCGUCGUCGAGGUCGUCGUCAAGUCGCGAACGGAGUCCACCACGGCCUCUUCCUCUGGCUCCUCGACCACGACCACCACGGGAGCUUCCAAAGUCGUCGUCGUCAUCACUGAGAUCGUCCAUGCUGUCGUCUUCGCUGUCAAACCGGCCACCACCUCUGCCUCUUGCUCCUCGACCACCUCGGGUGGUGAAGCUACCACCACGUCCUCCACGAGCACCCCUGCGAGGCAUGUCAUCGUCGUCACUGUCGUCCAAACUAUCAUCAAGGUCGUCUUCGCUGUCCUUGGCAAAACUCGCACGACCACCCCUUCCCCGUCCGCUAGUAAAACUCCGGCCUCGUCCCCCACCGUCGUCUUCUCUAAGUGAGGACGCCCUGGAUGCAAAUCCUGCUCCUCGCCCUCUACCUCUCAUCUGGCCACCACCACGUUUGGAGGACGUAAAGUCGUCAUCGUCGUCGGAGUCGUCGUUCCAUGCAUCAUUUUUGCUCUGCUUCUUGCCUAAAUUUUUCCUGGACCCUACGUCGAAGUCCUUGUCGUCGGAGUCCUCAUCUAAGUCACUCUCGGACUCGGACGCCAUUCUCCGAUUUUGAAGGGAAGUUGUUCGCUUAGGCGCAACUUUGAAGUCAUCAUCGGAGUCGCUGAGACCAUCACUGUACUUGCCUUGCGCUUGUUUGGCCUUCCUCUCGAGGUGUGUGUGCUGCCGGGCAAAAUCUUCUGGACUGCCCUCCCACUUCUCUUUGGUUCCUUUUAUUGUGUGGAACACCUUGACUGUGUCAGGCCGCUCGGCUUUGCAGUCGUGGCAUUCUUCAUUUCUUGCAAAGUUCACGAACCGGCACCUGAGAACGAAGAAGACGACUCGUUUGAAGUUGUUAUAAAAAGCAUGAACUUACUCUGGACAUUCCCAAUCUCCGGGGCGCAGAUCUUGUGGCGGACGUGGUGUAUGACACUCUCGGCAAUGCCUAUUCCUACAAAAAUUGAUGUAAUCACACCUGUAGAAAGAGAGAAAACAAAAAAAAAAAAACAAAAAAACAUC